GAGGGUAUAGCUCAGUGGUAGAGUUCAUGCGUAGCAUGCAGGAGGGUCCUUGGUUCAAUCCCCAGUACCUCCA
rnacentral:tRNA from 1 species